CAGGGCCCACCAUGGGUGUUGACGGCUUCAUGAUGGUAAGAAGAGAACCCCCAGUCAUCCAGCUGGCGUGGCAGCCAAAGAGAAACACUUAAUCGGAUGGAGAUGCUCCACCAUGUGAAGAUGUGCUGGCUUCCCCUUCACCUUCUGCCAUGAUUGUAAGUUUCCUGAGGCCUCCCAGCCAUGCCUCCUAUACAGCCUGCAAAACUGGUCAAGCCAUCUGUAAGUGAGGAACCUGUCACAGUCUCUCUCUCAAACAAUCUACAAGCAAGACUGAAAACAGAUUUCUAGAGAUGAUGAGAAGAAGAUGAUGAGAAGACCUUGGGGGCAGUUGCGAAUUCAUAACAUUUUGAAUGGAAAGAGCAUUGGAGAUCUUCUGUCUCCAGUCUUGUGAUGGGUGAGAACCCCAAGGUCCACCGAAGUUCAGUGACUUAGCCAAAAAUCACACUGCAAGGAAAUGUCAGAGCUGGACUAGAAUCCUGUCUCGAGACAUACUUCUUUAAUAUACCACCCCUUCUUUCGCAGAUGUAUCUUUAGACCAGAGUUUCUCAAACUUAGCACUGCUGACAUUUGGGGCCAGAAAUACUGCAUUGUCGGGGGCUGCCCUGCGCAUUGUAGAAUGUUUAACAGCAUUCCUGUUCUCUACCCAGUAGAUGCCAGAAGGACUGUCACCCCAGCUGUGACAACCAAAAAUGCCUGCAGACUUUGCCAAAUCUUCCUUAGGGAAGGCAAAAUAGCCUGCAGUUGAAAACCACUGGGACAGAUCAGAGCAUCCCCUAGGUGUCAUACUGAAAUAAAGAGUGGAGGUGGUGGUGGCCCUCAUGGCUGUGAUGCACCCCUCGCUUCUGGAGACUACGAGACUUGUCUGAAGUCACUUGCUGGUCUUCCUUGGCUGCCAAGACUUCUCCCCCUCAGACCACAGAUGAGAACAUUGAGGCCUAGGGCAUUUCAAUAGCUUGCCAAAGGGCUCAUCAUUCUCGGGUAACAGGAUGAGGCCAGACACCAAGGAUCCCUGGAUCCAUGCCCUACUCUCCACACUUGUCUUGGGUCUAUGAAGCCCCCAGUCCCAAGAUGCUGAGAACCUGAGAUAUCACUCAUCUCAUCUUCCUGAAUUUUAUGAACUAAGAAGCGAAAGCUCACCCAAAGCCAUUUAUAGAGUCUAUGGAAAAAGAAGGACUAGACCCUGGAUUCCGUGAUUUACAGAGAUAUAAAGGGUGGCUGGUGCCAUUCUUCCAAAAGGAAAGCUGUCAUCUUUACUCACUCAGUCCUCAGCAAACUAUCUGAGCACUAUUUUUGUGCCUCAUCUGGGAGCUGGGGAGUCAGUGAUGGGCAAGAUAUGGUCUUUACUUGCAAAAUUCCCAUAGCACAUUGGAGAAGAAAAAACAGCAAUCAGGUAUGUGCGCUACAGGGGGGUGCAUGCUGCAACCACCAGCAUCAACAACAACAUGCAUUGAAUGCUUCAUGUAUAUCAAGUGCUCUCUCUCCUAAGAGAUAUGAAUGCAUUAACCCCAUUUACUCCUCAAGACUAGAAACAAACACUUUAUAAUUUGCUACGGACUGAAAAUUUGUGUCCCCCUAAAAUGUAUAUGUGGAAGUCUUAAUCCCCAAUGUGAUGAUAUUUGGAGGCGGGGCCUUGGGACAUAAUUGGGGUAGGGUGAGGUCAUGAGGGUGAAAACCCCAUACUGGGAUUGGUGCCCUUAGAAAGGUAUAAAGGGACUGGAGCAUGCAGUUUCUCUCUCUCUCUCUCUCUGUUUCUCUCUCUCUCUCUCUCCCUCCGCCGUAUGAGCACGCAGCAAGAAAGCGGCUGUGUGGCAACCAGGAAGACAGCCUUUAUCAGAAUCCAGCCAUAUUGGUGCCCUGAUCUCAGACUUUCCAGCCUCCAGAACUGUAAGAAAUAGAUGUUCACUGUUUAAGUGCCCCAGUCUAUGGUAUUCUAUGAUAGCAGCCCAAACUGACUAAGACAUCAUUUCUUUUAUCAGAUGAGGAAACCAAUACAUAGAAAGACUUUUAAAUUUUCCCUAAACAAUGGAAGUACAUGCUAAGUGCAAUAGGGGUAUGUAGAAAAGAGUGUUCAGAUUUUAGGGAGAUUUCCAGAAAAGGCCUCUUCAUGCUGGAGAUGGCUUUUUUUAAAUAAUGGAAGGGAGUUCCCAAGGCAAUGGUUGAGCAGUGGAGUGGGAGCCCAGGUAAGAGUAUGCAGGUGGUAGAAACAAAAUAUUCUAAGACAGACGGGCACAAAACAGCAUGGCUUAUUUGGGGAACUACAAGUACCUCUAUGUUGCUGAUGCCUGAUGUUCUAGAGGACACAUUUCAAGGCAGGAACAAGCUGAGGGCAUAUCUCAACCUCCCCUUCCUCAGGGGCACUCAUCCUUCAUCCCUUUAGCAGUUUUACUCAGCAUUUGUUCUAGGAUGCCAGGCUGUGAGGUAAGACAGGUAAGUGAGACUCAGCCUCUACCCUCAGAGUUCACAAUCUAAUGGGAAAACUAAAUUAUCAUAAAGAUAGCAUUACAAAUGCAGUGCUUGACAUAUGCCUGGAGCACUAUGAGACUGUAGGUGAGAAGCAACGAAAAGAGGACAAUCCGGAGAAGGUAGCAGCUGUGCUGUCUCUUAAAGUCUGACCAGGUAGUCCAGGUGUUCCCUGUGUUUGAGGUCAAGGGGCAGCAGGAGAAGAUGCAACAGAAAAGCACACAGCACGAGCAAAGCCACAUAGCUGAAAAACAGCUAUCACCUGCAACAGCUUCUGCUGCUACAAUACCUGUACUCCUCUUAGAUUUUAUUCCAGUAUCAGCCAACAACGUGAUCUGACAGGACAGUCCCAGCCCUAGGAAAUGAACUAUGAUUCGUGCAGACCGAUCGAAGUCAUACCAUACAGCGAUGGAUUUGGGCAUGUGGGCCAGUUGGGAUCAAGGGAAAGGAAGCAUUUCCAUUUUGAUCAAUGGGGGGAUUCUGGGAAAGUCUUCUGCCCGUAAAAAGAAACAAGCCAGGAAAAACGUCCCCUUCCUCCCUGUAGACAUGGCUAUGAACGGCAGGAUGCCUGAAACUGUCCAGGCUUGUUAUGAUGGAGAGACACACUGCACAGGGUGGGGGAAAGGGGAAAUAUACCCUAAGAAUGGUAGACCAGAAAGAUGUAAAGCAUCUGUAUCCUUGUUGAAAUUAUAGUGCCUCCCAAUUAACAUACCUAGAACUGUUUACCUCUGGACAUUUCAUUAUGUGAGAUAUUAAAGACCUGUGUAUUUGAAGCCUCUG
rnacentral:lncRNA from 10 species